AUGUCCUCAGCGAAGGAGCGCCCGGGUCAUGGACCUGCCCACCCGACGACGGCCACCCCAGCCAUCCGUCCGCCAGCUCCAAAGUCCCCACAGAUUCAUCCCGUCCCGCUCCCCGGCAUCCCGACGAGACGCUCGAGGAGCCGUCCCCCAUCGAUCUGUCGAGCUUGGGCGGAGAUUCAGAGUCGUCUCCGGUUCACAAUCACUGGGACGACGGCAUCCCCGUACGCGGCAGCGAUUCUGAUUACGAUCCGCCGGAAGCGGACGCCGACGGUGAGGUGCCGGACUGCCCGGGGUGGAAGUCCGACGAGGAAAAAGCAACGAAAGUAG
rnacentral:rRNA from 1 species